rnacentral:rRNA from 1 species
UACGUAGGGGCGUAGCGUUGUCCGGAAUCAUUGGGCGUAAAGAGCGUGUAGGCGGUCCGGUAAGUCCGUUGUGAAAGUCAGGGGCUCAACCCUUGAAAUGCCGGCGGAUACCUGUCGGGCUAGUAGUCCGGAAGAGGCAAGUGGAAUUCCCGGUGUGAGCGGUGAAAUGACGCAGAGUAGUACGGGAGGAACACCUGAUGGCGGAAGGCAGCUUGCGUGGGACGGUACUGACGCUGGAGACGCGAAAGCGUGGGAGCAAACAGGAUUGAG